GACGAACGCUGACGGUGUGCUUUAGACAUGCAAGUCGAACGAGAAAGCCCUUCGGGUUAGUAAAGUGGCGAACGGGUGAGUAACACGUGGGCAAUCUGCCCCUCGCAGGGGGACGAACCGGAGGAAACUCCGGCUAAUACCCCGUAAGUUCAAAGGGAGGCAUCUCUCUUCGAAGAAAGGUAGCUUCGGCCAUCCGGCGAGGGAUGAGCCCGCGGUGCAUUAGCUAGUUGGUGGGGUAACGGCCUACCAAGGCGACGAUGCAUAGCUGGUCUGAGAGGAUGAUCAGCCACACUGGGACUGAGACACGGCCCAGACUCCUACGGGAGGCAGCAGUCGGGAAUCUUGCGCAAUGGGCGAAAGCCUGACGCAGCAACACCGCGUGUGUGAGGAAGG
rnacentral:rRNA from 1 species